CCUACGGGGGGCAGCAGUGGGGAAUAUUGGACAAUGGACCGAGAGUCUGAUCCAGCAAUUCUGUGUGCACGAUGAAGUUUUUCGGAAUGUAAAGUGCUUUCAGUUGGGAAGAAAAAAAUGACGGUACCAACAGAAGAAGUGACGGCUAAAUACGUGCCAGCAGCCGCGGUAAUACGUAUGUCACGAGCGUUAUCCGGAUUUAUUGGGCGUAAAGCGCGUCUAGGUGGUUAUGUAAGUCUGAUGUGAAAAUGCAGGGCUCAACUCUGUACUGCGUUGGAAACUGUAUAACUAGGGUACUGGAGAGGUAAGCGGAACUACAAGUGUAGAGGUGAAAUUCGUAGAUAUUUGUAGGAAUGCCAAUGGGGAAGCCAGCUUACUGGACAGAUACUGACGCUAAAGCGCGAAAGCGUGGGUAGCAAACAGGAUUAGAUACCCGAGUAGUC
rnacentral:rRNA from 1 species